rnacentral:rRNA from 1 species
GAUGAACGCUGGCGGCGUGCCUAAUACAUGCAAGUCGAGCGAACAGACGAGGAGCUUGCUCCUCUGACGUUAGCGGCGGACGGGUGAGUAACACGUGGAUAACCUACCUAUAAGACUGGGAUAACUUCGGGAAACCGGAGCUAAUACCGGAUAAUAUAUUGAACCGCAUGGUUCAAUAGUGAAAGACGGUUUUGCUGUCACUUAUAGAUGGAUCCGCGCCGCAUUAGCUAGUUGGUAAGGUAACGGCUUACCAAGGCGACGAUGCGUAGCCGACCUGAGAGGGUGAUCGGCCACACUGGAGCUGAGACACGGUCCAGAGGCCUACGGGAGGCAGCAGUAGGGAAUCUUCCGCAAUGGGCGAAAGCCUGACGGAGCAACGCCGCGUGAGUGAUGAAGGUCUUCGGAUCGUAAAACUCUGUUAUUAGGGAAGAACAAAUGUGUAAGUAACUAUGCACGUCUUGACGGUACCUAAUCAGAAAGCCACGGCUAACUACGUG